CUUUUUGGGGUCGAGUCCGAGGCGGAAGAGGUUUGUUAAUGCGUUCGCCAUGUGCUACGAUCCUGGGACGAACUGGGCCACGAGCGUGGCGUUGAGGGCGGUCCGAACGCUGCAGGCCGGCCAGGUCCCCGGGCGUCCCGGCCUGGCCUACGCUCCACUUUGUCCCUUAGCGUUUAAACGUUUCUUCCCGAAUCGCAGGCCCCCAGCUACCUGCAGGUUUCGUCGCGAGCCGGCUGCAAAUUUUGAACCUAAGUAAACCUCAAUCCGGAGGGCCUAGCGGUAAGGUGGGCGCUGUGUCUGUUGAAGUGCUUAGCAAUAAAGCAAAGGUAGUGAGUUGAUUCGG
rnacentral:lncRNA from 1 species